rnacentral:rRNA from 1 species
CCUACGGGAGGCAGCAGUAGGGAAUAUUGCUCAAUGGGGGAAACCCUGAAGCAGCAACGUCGCGUGGAGGAUGAAGGUUUUCGGAUUGUAAACUCUCUUUGUUAGAGAAGAUAAUGACGGUAUCUAACGAAUAAGCACCGGCUAACUCCGUGCCAGCAGCCGCGGUAAUACGGAGGGUGCAAGCGUUACUCGGAAUCACUGGGCGUAAAGAGCGCGUAGGCGGGAUAGCAAGUCAGAUGUGAAAUCCUAUGGCUUAACCAUAGAACUGCAUUUGAAACUGUUAUUCUAGAGUAUGGGAGAGGUAGGUGGAAUUCGUGGUGUAGGGGUAAAAUGCGUAGAGAUCAAGAGGAAUACUCAUUGCGAAGGCGACCUGCUAGAACAUAACUGACGCUGAUGCGCGAAAGCGUGGGGAGCAAACAGGAUUAGAUACCCGAGUAGUC